rnacentral:ncRNA from 2 species
UCAUAACAAGCUGGAACAGGUGCAUUAUUUUGAGAAGAUAAUGCUUAAAAAGGGAAGUCGGUGCAAAUCCGAUACGGUCCCGCCACUGUGAUGGGGAAGGAUCUUAUGUAAUGCCACUGGGUGUUGACCUGGGAAGGACUAAGAUCUUGGUGAACCUAAGUCAGGAGACCUGCCUGUUUUAUUAAAAACAA